AAAGUAAAGCACUACUACUUGAGCAUCAUCUCAGCUCCGUCGUUAUUGCAUGAGGAGGCGAUUUGCCUUUGAAGUUGAACUUGCUGACUUGAAAGUGACCUAUUGUAACCUGUGCCGAUUCCUCUGAAAACCACACACGAGAAAACACGCUGGCAAACAACUGCCGCUGCUUAAUACUAAAGACCAGUGGAGGGCACGUCCCUAUUAAGUAUGAGCUGCAUAAUAAAAAAAAUAAUCUUGCCGUGUUUUUCUUCUCGCAUUUGAAUCACAACAGAGACACUCUUUGGCCUUGCAUCACGGCUCUCGGCACACGCUGUUCUACAUCAAAAUACGCUCUAUUGUAAACAGCCCUCUUGAAUCGAGCAAUAACAAACACGUUAAAAGGUUGCGACACAUUCCUGCCGGAGCAUCGAAGGCGGUUGGACAGGCAGGGGGACGAGCCACUCCCGCUGGGAUAAGUUACACUACUUUUGGCCCACUUACUGGAGAGAACACGCAAACAAGAUGCUCGGCAUAUGUCCGACUCAGCAUAUCGGAGGUGGUCAACAGGAUUCAUCAAGGCCAACACAUAGUCACACAUCAAGUAUGAGUUCCGAUAUGAAGUGCUCUUGGUUCCUCAAUGAGCUGUUUGUCACAUCUCGAGCUAGUCUGCCAUGUGGUCCGUAUUUGGAUUGCACAACUGGGACCCACAAUGGCCAGAAAAGCGGGGGGAGUUUUUCGAGUGAUGUUAGGGGGGUGGGGGGGGCAUUAAAAAAAA